rnacentral:lncRNA from 1 species
AUAUGACCUCUUUUUGCAGGGGCUAGGUCACAUCAAUGUGAGUUUGACUUUCCAGAAAACCCACCUUCCUCCCUCUCAAAGGUAGUAAGCCAACUCUAAGCAAGGAAGAUGCGGUAGAUUUGGGUCCUAAGAAUGAAUAAGCAAACCCUUACUAUGUCCUGGGGAACACUUGGUUGGAAGCAGGGUAGGCUCCACCCACUGUAGAGCCCAACACAGGACUUAAACUCAAGACUCUGGGAUCAAGACCUGAGCUGAGAUCAAGAGUUGAACUCUCAACCGUCAGAGCCAUCCAGGAGUCCUCUGGAUCAGUACUACAAACAGGACUAGCAGACUACUGCUACUACUACUGUUAAGGGCAGGGGUGCAGCUAUACAACCAGAAAGAGAGAGAAAUAGCCCAGACUGUGCCACUGACAUGAAAUCAUUGUAAGAAGCAUAUUUUCAGCACCUAACCAAUCUUGUAUCUUUCUGGUGAUCUUGGGCCACAAAACUUAAAAAGACAAAUCAGCAGAGCAACGGAGGCCCCUCAGGCUGAGCUGAGUUCUCAUUGAGAUUCAUUUGCUGCUCCAGAGAGAACUUUAGCAUUGAGAGGACACAGACGUGGGGUUCUCACAGGAGGGAGGCUGUUGGUCCAGAAACCUUAGAGUUGUCAAGAUUAAUUUAGAAAAAGUGAAAGGACCAGGGAGAGGUGACCCAGCAUUUGGACAGCAUAAUUUAAUAUCAUAUGAUGAGACAGGACCUCAGAGGGCUGGAGCACAAAGUCACUAUCUACAGGACUUUUCUUCAAUAAAUCUUCCAGUCUCAAGAAAGAACAUGGACACAGAUCCCUCCAUCUGUGUUAUGGGCAACUGCAGACUGUGGAAAUGUAGACCAGCACUGUGUAGACUCUGCAUGCCAGACUGAGUUUUAUAUGGAAUGCACAAGUGCCUGGUGGAUCACGGGGUGUGUCAGACCUCUGCAGGCCCCACUCACUCCUGGCCCUGGAAGAAGAGGAUGUUUUACUACCAUAGCAGGAUGAAGGAAGAUGCUCUCCUCCCUCCUUGGCAACAGCCCAGCCAACCAUUGACAGUUCCAACUUAGGUGAUGGGUAUUAAGAGGGCACAUAUUGCGGUGAGCACUGGGUGUUAUACAUAAACAAUGAAUUAUGGAAUACUACAUCAAAAACUAAUGGGAUACUAUACGGUGAUUAACAUAAUAUAAUAAAAAUGUUAAAAUCAAAAAGGAAAAAAAGAACAGUCACUAUACUUUUAAGUCCUAGUUUAUUCUGAUGGACUUUUCGUUUAUAAUAAUCCUUGGGGCUAUAAUAAUAAUCCCAAUCCCACCUCUCCUCUGUAAAAGAGUAGUCAUCUGCUUUGCUCUAUAGUCUUGCCUAUGGUUUUGCCUCAACUUCUUUGUUGU